rnacentral:lncRNA from 1 species
AUCUGGAGGAUGAGCUGCUUAUUCCGCGCUCUUUUCCUCCCUUUAGUUUCUUGAGGAUAAAGCUUUUUGCUCCUUGUCAGUUUCCCCUUCUCUUCCCGAGGGAUUUUAUUGAAGGUUUGCACCUUUCGCAAUCUGUGAUGCUCAUGUUAAUCUCUUCUGUUUUAUAGAGAGAGCUGCUAGUUUUCUUCAUGUACUUUUUGUAACACUCCUCUCCAGUCCCUUUCCUAUCAACAUGACAACUGAUCUAGGAAAGACAGUCGAUAGAGGUUAUUAAAAUGGACACAAAGCAGCUAAAGAUUUCCAGAGUUCCUGAACAAAGCAACAUAAUGAGUGGAUUAAAUGAAACAGGAGCAACAGGUGUAUUGCCAGAAGGUCACCAGCUGUGGAGGUAACUAGCCAAAACACACAUGUAGGUAUGUACAGAUGGCUGAAGAUGUUACUAUAGUCCUUGGGUUGGACUAAGGCUUCUGUUUCUCAAUCCCCAAUGUAGCUGUUCUGCACAGAGUUGUUUAUUCAGGAAGCAUGCAGGGGCCAAGAUCUGGCCCAGAGACCUAAAUUCAAUGCUGUUCAAUAGCCACAUAUCUAACUUGCAACAUUUACAUUACUGCUACAUUAUACAAAAUCCUGCUUUCUGAAGGCUGCAGAUCUGUGUUUGUAGACCUGCCUGAUGUGGCGUUUUUGUAUCAGAAACGCUGUCAAAAACAGGCCUGAUUCUCUUCACUCAGAGGAAAUAACCAUUGAGGUGAACAACAUUUUUGUAUGAACAAGGAAUAAAGAGAGCGAGACAG